rnacentral:ribozyme from 11 species
CAAUGAUACGUAUGCGAAAGAAAAGAAAAUAAACGAAAAAAGAAAGGAAUCUAUUUCAGCCAUCUUCACAUCUACCGUUUUCCCAUC